UACGAAGGGGGCUAGCGUUGUUCGGAAUUACUGGGCGUAAAGCGCGCGCAGGCGGUCUUCCAAGUCAGUGGUGAAAGCCCGGAGCUCAACUCCGGAACUGCCAUUGAAACUGUUGGACUUGAGUACGAGAGAGGUGAGUGGAAUUCCCAGUGUAGAGGUGAAAUUCGUAGAUAUUGGGAAGAACACCGGUGGCGAAGGCGACUUACUGGACACAUAUUGACGCUGAGGUGCGAAAGCGUGGGGAGCAAACAGG
rnacentral:rRNA from 1 species